UACAGAGGGUGCGAGCGUUAAUCGGAAUUACUGGGCGUAAAGCGCGCGUAGGCGGCUUUGCAAGUCGGGUGUGAAAUCCCCAGGCUCAACCUGGGAACUGCGUCUGAUACUGGAUGGCUUGAAUCCGGGAGAGGGAUGCAGAAUUCCAGGUGUAGCGGUGAAAUGCGUAGAUAUCUGGAGGAAUACCGGUGGCGAAGGCGGCAUCCUGGACCGGCAUUAACGCUGAUGAGCGAAAGCCAGGGGAGCAAACGGG
rnacentral:rRNA from 1 species